rnacentral:tRNA from 1 species
GCGCCUGUAGCUCAGUUGGAUAGAGCGUAGCCUUGCGGAGGCUAAGGUCGCAGGUUCGAAUCCUGUCAGGCGCG